rnacentral:rRNA from 1 species
GACGAACGCUGGCGGCGUGCUUAACACAUGCAAGUCGAACGAAGUGGCGAACGGGUGAGUAACGCGUAAUCAACCUGCCCUUCAGAGGGGGACAACAGUUGGAAACGACUGCUAAUACCGCAUACUGAAGGAGGGGCUGGCGUCUGAUUAGCUAGUUGGAGGGGUAACGGCCCACCAAGGCGAUGAUCAGUAGCCGGUCUGGGAGGAUGGACGGCCAAAUUUGGACUGAGGAACGGCCCAGACUCCCUCGGGAGGGAAGAGUGGGGAAUCUUUCGCAAUGGACGGAAGUCUGGCGGAGCAACGGCGGGGGAGGUGAGACGGCCUUCGGGUUGGAAAGCUCUGUUAAUCGGGGCGCGGUACCGGAAUAGAAAGCCACGGCUAACUACGUGCCAGCAGCCGCGGUAAUAC